rnacentral:rRNA from 1 species
GCUACACAUGCAGUCGAGCGGUAGCACAGAAGAGCUUGCUCUUUGGGUGACGAGCGGCGGACGGGUGAGUAAUGUCUGGGAAACUGCCUGAUGGAGGGGGAUAACUACUGGAAACGGUAGCUAAUACCGCAUAACGUCGCAAGACCAAAGUGGGGGACCUUCGGGCCUCAUGCCAUCAGAUGUGCCCAGAUGGGAUUAGCUAGUAGGUGAGGUAAUGGCUCACCUAGGCGACGAUCCCUAGCUGGUCUGAGAGGAUGACCAGCCACACUGGAACUGAGACACGGUCCAGACUCCUACGGGAGGCAGCAGUGGGGAAUAUUGCACAAUGGGCGCAAGCCUGAUGCAGCCAUGCCGCGUGUAUGAAGAAGGCCUUCGGGUUGUAAAGUACUUUCAGCGAGGAGGAAGGCGAUAAGGUUAAUAACCUUGUCGAUUGACGUUACUCGCAGAAGAAGCACCGGCUAACUCCGUGCCAGCAGCCGCGGUAAUACGGAGGGUGCAAGCGUUAAUCGGAAUUACUGGGCGUAAAGCGCACGCAGGCGGUCUGUCAAGUCGGAUGUGAAAUCCCCGGGCUCAACCUGGGAACUGCAUCCGAACUGGCAGGCUAGAGUCUUGUAGA